rnacentral:rRNA from 1 species
AAGGAAUAUUGGACAAUGGAGGCAACUCUGAUCCAGCCAUCCCGCGUGUAGGAAGAAGGCCCUAUGGGUCGUAAACUACUUUUGUCAGGGAAUAAACCUCUCGAUUUACUCGAGAGCUGAAGGUACCUGAAGAAUAAGCACCGGCUAACUCCGUGCCAGCAGCCGCGGUAAUACGGAGGGUGCAAGCGUUAUCCGGAAUCACUGGGUUUAAAGGGUGCGUAGGUGGUAUCGUAAGUCAGAAGUGAAAGUUUGCGGCUUAACCGUAAAAUUGCUUUUGAUACUGCAAUACUUGAAUCAGGUUGAGGUUGGCGGAAUGUGGCAUGUAGCGGUGAAAUGCUUAGAUAUGCCAUAGAACACCAAUUGCGAAGGCAGCUGACUGGACCUGUAUUGAUGCUGAGGCACGAAAGCGUGGGGAGCGAA